GCAGAAAUGACUUGUGAAUACCAAAUGAGGGUAGCAAAUUGCUACUUAUAUUGCAAAGAUUUGCGGGAGCCAGUAAAAGGGCAGCAAUGCUACAGAACCAGGUCCUGAUUGGCUGUUGGGAGCAAAGCAGUAAAUACUUAAAUAAAUACGUUUUCUCCAUGU